rnacentral:tRNA from 1 species
GCCUGGGUGGCUCAGUCAGUUAAGUGUCUGACUUCAGCUCAGGUCAUGAUCUCACGGUUUGUGAGUUCGAGCCCCACAUCAGGCU